ACAUUUUAGCAAUGUGUAUCGGGUUUCAGUAGACAAAAAUACCCUUAUAUCAUGAAUUCUAAGUUUUAAGGUUAAAGGUAUUUUAAUAAUUUUCAUUCUCAAAAUUAAAAAAAUAAAAAAAGAAUUCCCCAAACCCUUACCCACCUCUCUCUUUCCUCUCAAUCCUUUAUCUUUCAUUUCUUUCACUCUAAUCUUUUCUCUCUCAUCCCUACUCUAGUCCCAAUUGAAAAAAAUAAGAAACACUUGCCUUAUUUUAAUAAUUUUUAUUUUCAAAAUUAAAAGAAAAAAACUCAAACGCUUAUUCACCUCCUUCAUUCCUCUCAACCCUUUCUCCUUCAUCU
rnacentral:lncRNA from 1 species